GCCAAUGUGGCGUAGUGGCUUGAGCAUUGGACUACGACUCUGGAGACCUGGGUUUGAAUCCUGGCUCGGCCA